AUAUUUUCUUUAGAAAUUUAUUUUUUUAUUUUUACAAAAAUGUAAUUUAUUAUUAAAGUUAUUAAAUUAUUUUGAAUCACAAAUUUAAAUUAUGUUUCACCACUAGUUAUCGUGGUUAGUCUGUAUGAAUAAACAUUAGGAAAAGAAAAGUCUCACUUUAAAAUGAAAAUUCCUCUCGUUUAAUUCAUAACCCGACAUAAUAUUGCCAUAGUAUUUAUUAUUAAAUUAUUAAUAUUUAUUAUUAAACCCAACCCAACCUUUGUAGUUACCAAUUCGUUCACGUUUUUAGCAUUUCAACACAUUCACAUAUUUCACUACUCACUUUCAUUAUUCACCAUUCAUCUACUCUAUUUUACAGCUAAUUAUUUAAUUGUUUGUUUUAUAUUUGUAUUAUUUUUUUCAUAGCCCAUUAAGUCUACCAUUUUAGUAAUAUGGGCACCCCUUAAUUUUAAUUUUCUUAUAGUAGAAUUUUUAUAUAUUUGUUUUAUGAUCAAUUUAAUUAUUGUCUAAUGUCGUAACACAGCAAAAAUGAUAAAAAAAGGUAAAAGUAUAAAAUGUGUAACUAUGUGUACGAAGAUGAAUAUGAGGAGGUGGUGCCUGCUGUCUAGGUAUUCACGUGCGUGUUGUCGUACAGCAGUCACCGUGCUCGGCUGACACUCCGGGUUAGCUGUGGGUGUCGAAAGGCUGUUGUUAUAGGAAGGGAGAAUAAGAGUAACACCUAGGUAUGAGGUGCAGACGAAGUGCAAGACACAAAUACUUGGGGUAUAGGAGAGGACAAUGAAGUACGAGGUGCAGACGAAGUGCAAGACACAAAUACUGGGCGUACCAGAUAAGGAGUAUAACAAAGUACGAGGUGCAGACGAAGUGCAAGACACAAGUACUUUAGUUAUUAGGAGAGGAUAAUGAAGUACGAGGUGUUGAAGAAGCGCAAGACACAAGUACUCUGAAAUGUCGAGGAAAAGAGUAUAUAGGUUAGAAAAGGAAUAAACAAUGACUUUAUUUUAAACAGUAAGCCGGACAGCGACAACCGAGUACUGAGACUGAUGAAUGACACAAGGCACUGGAGUCGACUGACCACGAUGGUCAGGUCUAUUGGGUUUUUAUAAUAAUUAGAACUAUUGCCAAUUUGGCAAUAAAUAUUAUUUGUUAAUUCAUCAGUCUCAGGCAGCGGAUGUGCUGUCUGUAUUUUAUUAAAAUAAUUCUCACGAUUAUGAAAACGUGACACCAUCACACUAAAAAUCAUAUAAUUUAGGAUAAAUUUGAACAAAUCAUAUUGAAGUUUGGCAAAUUUACUUCCUAAUACUUGACCCGACAUAAUAUUGCUGAAUAUUUAUUCAUAGUAUUUAAUAUUUAAUGCUUAACACAUAUUUUUAUAAAAUUGUUUAUAAAUAUUAUCAGAGCUGUAGUAUAUUUCUAUUUCUAUUAUUAUUACCUUAUAAUUGGUUUGAGUUGUUUGAAAUCC